GACGUAGGGCGCGAGCGUUGUCCGGAUUUAUUGGGCGUAAAGAGCUCGUAGGCGGUCUGUCGCGUCUGCUGUGAAAACUCGGGGCUUAACCCCGGGCCUGCAGUGGGUACGGGCAGACUAGAGUGCGGUAGGGGAGACUGGAAUUCCUGGUGUAGCGGUGAAAUGCGCAGAUAUCAGGAGGAACACCGGUGGCGAAGGCGGGUCUCUGGGCCGUAACUGACGCUGAGGAGCGAAAGCCAGGGGAGCAAACGGG
rnacentral:rRNA from 1 species